GAACGAACGUUGGCGGCGUGGAUUAGGCAUGCAAGUCGUACGGGAUCCGGGGGCAACUCCGGGUCUAGUGGCGAACGGGUGAGUAACGCGUGGGAAACCUACCCUCGAGUUCGGGAUAACACUCCCAACGGGGUGCUAAUACCGGAUAAGACCACGGGACUGCAUGGUCCUGGGGUCAAAGGUGGCCUCUACUUGUAAGCUACCGCUUAAGGAUGGUCCCGCGUCCCAUUAGCUUGUUGGUGGGGUAAUGGCCUACCAAGGCGACGAUGGGUAGCUGGUCUGAGAGGAUGGUCAGCCACACUGGGACUGAGAUACGGCCCAGACUCCUACGGGAGGCAGCAGUCGAGAGGCUUCGGCAAUGGGGGAAACCCUGACCGAGCGACGCCGCGUGGGCGAUGAAGGCCGUUAGGUUGUAAAGCCCUGUCGUGCGGGAAGAAAUGCAGGUGGGUAAACAAUCCAUCUGUUUGACGGUACCGCGAAAGGAAGCUCCGGCCAACUCCGUGCCAGCAGCCGCGGUAAUACGGGGGGAGCAAACGUUGUUCGGAAUUACUGGGCGUAAAGGGCGUGCAGGCGGCCUUGUAAGUGGGAUGUGAAAUGCCCUGGCUCAACCAGGGAACUGCAUCCCAGACUGCAAGGCUUGAGUAUAGGAGAGGAUGGGGGAAUUCCCGGUGUAGCGGUGAAAUGCAUUGAUAUCGGGAGGAACACCAGUGGCGAAGGCGCCCAUCUGGCCUAAUACUGACGCUCAGGCGCGAAAGCUAGGGGAGCAAACAGGAUUAGAUACCCUGGUAGUCCUAGCCGUAAACGGUGGGCACUAGGUGUAGGAGGCAUCGACCCCUCCUGUGCCGCAGCUAACGCAUUAAGUGCCCCGCCUGGGGAGUACGACCGCAAGGU
rnacentral:rRNA from 1 species